UAAUAUAUCGGAACGUACCCUAGAGUGGGGGAUAACGUAGCGAAAGUUACGCUAAUACCGCAUACGAUCUAAGGAUGAAAGUGGGGGAUCGCAAGACCUCAUGCUCGUGGAGCGGCCGAUAUCUGAUUAGCUAGUUGGUAGGGUAAAAGCCUACCAAGGCAUCGAUCAGUAGCUGGUCUGAGAGGACGACCAGCCACACUGGAACUGAGACACGGUCCAGACUCCUACGGGAGGCAGCAGUGGGGAAUUUUGGACAAUGGGCGAAAGCCUGAUCCAGCAAUGCCGCGUGAGUGAAGAAGGCCUUCGGGUUGUAAAGCUCUUUUGUCAGGGAAGAAACGGUGAAAGCUAAUAUCUUUUGCUAAUGACGGUACCUGAAGAAUAAGCACCGGCUAACUACGUGCCAGCAGCCGCGGUAAUACGUAGGGUGCAAGCGUUAAUCGGAAUUACUGGGCGUAAAGCGUGCGCAGGCGGUUUUGUAAGUCUGAUGUGAAAUCCCCGGGCUCAACCUGGGAAUUGCAUUGGAGACUGCAAGGCUAGAAUCUGGCAGAGGGGGGGUAGAAUUCCACGUGUAGCAGUGAAAUGCGUAGAUAUGUGGAGGAACACCGAUGGCGAAGGCAGCCCCCUGGGUCAAGAUUGACGCUCAUGCACGAAAGCGUGGGGAGCAAACAGGAUUAGAUACCCUGGUAGUCCACGCCCUAAACGAUGUCUACUAGUUGUCGGGUCUUAAUUGACUUGGUAACGCAGCUAACGCGUGAAGUAGACCGCCUGGGGAGUACGGUCGCAAGAUUAAAAACUCAAAGGAAUUGACGGGGACCCGCACAAGCGGUGGGAUGAUGUGGAUUAAUUCGAUGCAACGCGAAAAACCUUACCUACCCUUGACAUGGCUGGAAUCCUUGAGAGAUCAGGGAGUGCUCGAAAGAGAACCAGUACACAGGUGCUGCAUGGCUGUCGUCAGCUCGUGUCGUGAGAUGUUGGGUUAAGUCCUGCAACGAGCGCAACCCUUGUCAUUAGUUGCUACGAAAGGGCACUCUAAUGAGACUGCCGGUGACAAACCGGAGGAAGGUGGGGAUGACGUCAAGUCCUCAUGGCCCUUAUGGGUAGGGCUUCACACGUCAUACAAUGGUACAUACAGAGCGCCGCCAACCCGCGAGGGGGAGCUAAUCGCAGAAAGUGUAUCGUAGUCCGGAUUGUAGUCUGCAACUCGACUGCAUGAAGUUGGAAUCGCUAGUAAUCGCGGAUCAGCAUGUCGCGGUGAAUACGUUCCCGGGUCUUGUACACACCCCCCGUCACGCCAUGGGAGCCCAUUUCACGGGUCGCCUU
rnacentral:rRNA from 1 species